CGGCGGACGGGUGGGUAACGCGUGGAUAACCUGCCUCACACAGGGGGAUAACAGUUAGAAAUGACUGCUAAUACCGCAUAAGCGCACGGUACCGCAUGGUACAGUGUGAAAAACUCCGGUGGUGUGAGAUGGAUCCGCGUCUGAUUAGGUAGUUGGUGAGGUAACGGCCCACCAAGCCGACGAUCAGUAGCCGACCUGAGAGGGUGACCGGCCACAUUGGGACUGAGACACGGCCCAA
rnacentral:rRNA from 1 species